UACGUAGGUGGCAAGCGUUGUCCGGAUUUACUGGGCGUAAAGGGCGUGCAGGCGGUUUGUUAAGUGCAGAGUGAAAGCUCCCGGCUCAACUGGGAGAGGUCUUUGCAUACUGGCAAACUCGAGGGAGGCAGAGGAAAGUGGAAUUCCCGGUGUAGUGGUGAUAUGCGUAGAUAUCGGGAGGAACACCUGUGGCGAAGGCGGCUUGCUGGGCCUUACCUGACGCUGAGACGCGAAAGCGUGGGGAGCGAACCGG
rnacentral:rRNA from 1 species